rnacentral:rRNA from 1 species
UGCUGAAGCAACAAAUGCCCUGCUUCCAGGAAAAGCCUCUAAGCAUCAGGUAACAUCAAAUCGUACCCCAAACCGACACAGGUGGUCAGGUAGAGAAUACCAAGGCGCUUGAGAGAACUCGGGUGAAGGAACUAGGCAAAAUGGUGCCGUAACUUCGGGAGAAGGCACGCUGAUAUGUAGGUGAAGUCCCUCGCGGAUGGAGCUGAAAUCAGUCGAAGAUACCAGCUGGCUGCAACUGUUUAUUAAAAACACAGCACUGUGCAAACACGAAAGUGGACGUAUACGGUGUGACGCCUGCCCGGUGCCGGAAGGUUAAUUGAUGGGGUUAGCGCAAGCGAAGCUCUUGAUCGAAGCCCCGGUAAACGGCGGCCGUAACUAUAACGGUCCUAAGGUAGCGAAAUUCCUUGUCGGGUAAGUUCCGACCUGCACGAAUGGCGUAAUGAUGGCCAGGCUGUCUCCACCCGAGACUCAGUGAAAUUGAACUCGCUGUGAAGAUGCAGUGUACCCGCGGCAAGACGGAAAGACCCCGUGAACCUUUACUAUAGCUUGACACUGAACAUUGAGCCUUGAUGUGUAGGAUAGGUGGGAGGCUUUGAAGUGUGGACGCCAGUCUGCAUGGAGCCGACCUUGAAAUACCACCCUUUAAUGUUUGAUGUUCUAACGUUGACCCGUAAUCCGGGUUGCGGACAGUGUCUGGUGGGUAGUUUGACUGGGGCGGUCUCCUCCUAAAGAGUAACGGAGGAGCACGAAGGUUGGCUAAUCCUGGUCGGACAUCAGGAGGUUAGUGCAAUGGCAUAAGCCAGCUUGACUGCGAGCGUGACGGCGCGAGCAGGUGCGAAAGCAGGUCAUAGUGAUCCGGUGGUUCUGAAUGGAAGGGCCAUCGCUCAACGGAUAAAAGGUACUCCGGGGAUAACAGGCUGAUACCGCCCAAGAGUUCAUAUCGACGGCGGUGUUUGGCACCUCGAUGUCGGCUCAUCACAUCCUGGGGCUGAAGUAGGUCCCAAGGGUAUGGCUGUUCGCCAUUUAAAGUGGUACGCGAGCUGGGUUUAGAACGUCGUGAGACAGUUCGGUCCCUAUCUGCCGUGGGCGCUGGAGAACUGAGGGGGGCUGCUCCUAGUACGAGAGGACCGGAGUGGACGCAUCACUGGUGUUCGGGUUGUCAUGCCAAUGGCACUGCCCGGUAGCUAAAUGCGGAAGAGAUAAGUGCUGAAAGCAUCUAAGCACGAAACUUGCCCCGAGAUGAGUUCUCCCUGACUCCUUGAGAGUCCUGAAGGAACGUUGAAGACGACGACGUUGAUAGGCCGGGUGUGUAAGCGCAGCGAUGCGUUGAGCUAACCGGUACUAAUGAACCGUGAGG